GGAAGAAAACUUGAUCUGAAGUCUAAGUUGUUAACGGAUAUGAUAUGGAAAGGUUGAGCUGCUGUUUAUCUAUUCCUAUAGAUGCUAGAAUUCUAGAGAAUUUUAUCUUUGAAAAUCUUUAAAAUAUCACACGAUGAGUUUCUGUAUGAUGAGAGUUUAAAUUCCUACCACAGCCAUAUAUACAUGCUUGCUAGACUUUGAGCCACACAUGUACUUUUUACUGCUUAUGAGCAUUGAGUGUGGUCAAGCUGUGUAGACCCUUAGGAGCUUGUCAUGUGGUUAAAUCAAGAUUCACUUGCACGUUCACUCACAUAUGUUGUUUCCACUCUAGAAGUACGCAUCCACAUAUAUCCACCCAUUUCCAUCUCCAAAACCAACCAAAAAUAUUCUACUCCUAAUCCGGGAGAGAAUAGCCAAAAAUAUUUUUGUUUUUCCCUGUGAAAUAAAUGCUCGAGUUAUUUUGAUUACUACCACUUGCUAUAUUAUUUCAGGAGAUGAGUGCUCUAAAAAAAGAGAAGAAAAGAGAUACGAGGAAAUAAAAAGGGGCAAGUGCCCGGAACCUCGAAAGAAAAGAAAAAGUGAGACGAGAGGUAAAAGUGGACAAGUGUCCGACAGUAAAAUUAGGGGUACAAGAUACCCACCUGAGAGGAAAGAAAAAGAAAAUAUAGAGCAUCUCAUUCUUCUCAAAAGUUUCAAAAGAGCAAGAAAGGUAUGUAUCCUCUCAAAAGAGCACAAGUAGAAUUAGACUUUCACCAUUGUUAUCACCAUCAUCACCAUACAUCAUUCAUUCGCCACACAUGCACAUCUUGAUUUGACUUAUUGACUUGUUUCUUUGGAUCCAUGGUUUGACUAUGCAAUAAAUAUCUUGUAAGUAUGUAUAUUCUAUCUCCCAUCUAUGAGCUGUAGAUAUCAAAAGCCUUAUUAGAGUAGGAUGAGAGAGAAGGCAAUGUCACUAUGCUUUAUACCAUAAAUACCACAUAUUUUGAGAGAGAAGGCAUAUACCAUCACUGCCUUGGUAAGGAUCCAGAAAUACCACA
rnacentral:lncRNA from 1 species